GACGAACCGUGCAAACGUUGUUCGGAAUCACUGGGCUUAAAGGGCGCGUAGGCGGGCCAUCAAGUCAGGGGUGAAAUCCUCCAGCUUAACUGGAGAAUAGCCUUUGAUACUGGUGGUCUCGAGUGAGGUAGGGGCAUGCGGAACUGAUGGUGGAGCGGUGAAAUGUGUUGAUAUCAUCAGGAACUCCGGUGGCGAAAGCGGCGUGCUGGACCUCUACUGACGCUGAGGCGCGAAAGCCAGGGGAGAGAACGGG
rnacentral:rRNA from 1 species